rnacentral:rRNA from 1 species
GACAGAGGAGCCAAGCGUUGUCCGGAUUGACUGGGCGUAAAGCGCACGCAGGCGGCCCGGCGCGUGGGGUGUGAAAGCUGGCGGCUUAACUGCCAGACGCCAUCCCAUACGGCUGGGCUCGAGCCCUGCAGAGGUCCAUGGAAUUGCCGGUGUAGUGGUGAAAUGCGUAGAGAUCGGCAGGAACACCCAGGGGGAAACCAGUGGACUGGGCAGGAGCUGACGCUCAGGUGCGAAAGCGUGGGGAGCGAACCGG